rnacentral:rRNA from 1 species
UAACGACUCUCGGAAACGAAUAUAUUGGCUCUCGCAUCAAUGAAGAACGUAGCGAAAUGUGAGAUGUGGUGUGAAUUGCAGAAUCCCGCGAACCAUCGAGUCUUUGAACGCAAGUUGUGCCCGAAGCCUUACCGCCGAGGGCACGCCUGCCUGGGCGUCAUGU